UGGCUUGGUGCUAGUCCAGAUGCUCUCAUAUUGGACAAGAGAGAAGAAUCAAUGUAUGGAGCUGUGGAGGUAAAAUACCCUGCAUCUAAAUCUGGGAUGAGUAUCAUCAAUGCAUGCAGUGACAAGUCAUUUUGUUUAGAGAUAGUAAAUGGAAAGCCAUGUCUAAAAAAACAUCAUGUAUAUUAUUAUCAAGUGCAAGGAGUUAUGGCUAUCUGCCAGUUGUGUUUUGUAGACUUUGUUGUAUAUACUGUAAGUGAUGUUCAUGUUGAAAGGAUUUAUUUUAGUAAAGUUGAAUGGGAAAAGUGUACUUUUCCUGAACUAACAACUUUCUAUUUUAAUUAUCUAAUGCCAGAUAAUUUAAAUAGUGGACACACUACUAACUGUACUUAAUAAAGUCAGAAAAACACUGGACUGAACUGUGUAGAGUCAUAUAUAGUAACAUAUAGGGC
rnacentral:lncRNA from 1 species